rnacentral:rRNA from 1 species
CGCGUAUAGAACCUACCUUUUACAGAGGAAUAGCCUUUAGAAAUGAAGAUUAAUGCCUCAUAGUAUUGUAGACUGGCAUCAGUUUAUAAUUAAAGAUUUAUCGGUAAAAGAUGGCUAUGCGUCCUAUUAGUUAGUUGGUAAGGUAACGGCUUACCAAGACAGCGAUAGGUAGGGGUCCUGAGAGGGAGAUCCCCCACACUGGUACUGAGACACGGACCAGACUCCUACGGGAGGCAGCAGUGAGGAAUAUUGGACAAUGGAGGAGACUCUGAUCCAGCCAUGCCGCGUGUAGGAAGAAUGCCCUAUGGGUUGUAAACUACUUUUAUACAGGAAGAAACACUGGUAUGUAUACCAGCUUGACGGUA